AAGGAGGGGUGUGUCUGUGAGACAGUAGACUGAAACACACACAAGGAUCACUGUUAGAGUCAGUGGGCUGCUUUUACAGUGAGCAGCUAACUGUUUUUAAAUCGUGCCAGAGCUGCCGGGGGGAUUUCGCUCAGAGAGGAGCCUGAGCAGUUGGAUCGCCCAAGAAUUCACAGAGACCUGAGCAGAAAUCUUUUCCUUUUUUUUUUUUUAAUUUGACUCCUCUGCCCACAUUGGUGAUGUUUUGGAUUCACCUCUCCUCCACAAACAGCUGGUUAGCACACCCUGCUGGCUGCACCGUGGAGCCUGGCACCACUCGCGUCGGAGGAAAAGAUUAGUAGCUCAUCAAUACGACAGAGACGCCCCAGAGAGAAAGCAUCUCCACCACCCCGGAUGUAUCAGAUGCUGGCUGGCCAGAGCUGCGGUGCAUUGUAGUUGCAUUGCAUGUCAGCCUAACUCAAUGCAAUGGAUCUGCUUUGCAGCACAGAACUUGGUUCCAAGACGACAAUUGCACACGAUCCCUUGUUAUAAACCUGUAGGCGAAGUUCACCAGCCCUGCUUUUAACCAGAAUGAGAAAGGAUGCAGCUAGAGUUGGUCAGCCGCUCUCAUGCUGAAUGAUGUUUAUUUAACUUAUGUGUUCAGAUUAAAACCUAUUUUGUGAUCGGUG